GCCAUUUCAGGGAAAAUUGAUUAGUUACUACAAAGCACCAGAAAAUUCGGCUUUGCAGGGAAUCGAAUUUUCCCUGAAAUUCAUAUGGAAGUCCACAGGAUACUUUGAUUUGCUCCACCCUAUCUCUUGGAUUUG